rnacentral:rRNA from 1 species
CCUACGGGUGGCAGCAGUGGGGAAUAUUGGACAAUGGGGGGAACCCUGAUCCAGCCAUGCCGCGUGUGUGAAGAAGGCCCUCGGGUUGUAAAGCACUUUCAGUGAGGAAGAACGCCUGGUGGUUAAUACCCAUCAGGAAAGACAUCACUCACAGAAGAAGCACCGGCUAACUCCGUGCCAGCAGCCGCGGUAAUACGGAGGGUGCGAGCGUUAAUCGGAAUUACUGGGCGUAAAGCGCGCGUAGGUGGCUUGAUAAGCCGGUUGUGAAAGCCCCGGGCUCAACCUGGGAACGACAUCCGGAACUGUCAAGCUAGAGUGCAGGAGAGGAAGGUAGAAUUCCCGGUGUAGCGGUGAAAUGCGUAGAGAUCGGGAGGAAUACCAGUGGCGAAGGCGGCCUUCUGGACUGACACUGACACUGAGGUGCGAAAGCGUGGGUAGCAAACAGGAUUAGAUACCCUUGUAGUC